AGGGUUCGAUCCUGGCUCAGAUUGAACGCUGGCGGUAGGCUUAACACAUGCAAGUCGUGCGAGAAAGUAUCUUCGGAUAUGAGUAGAGCGGCGGACGGGUGAGUAACGCGUAGGAAUCUACCUAGUAGAAGGGGAUAGCCCGGGGAAACCCGGAUUAAUACCGUAUACCUCCUUCGGGAGAAAGAAGGCCUCUCUUUGAAGCUUUCGCUAUUAGAUGAGCCUGCGUAAGAUUAGCUUGUUGGUGAGGUAAAGGCUCACCAAGGCGACGAUCUUUAGCUGGUCUGAGAGGACGAUCAGCCACAUUGGGACUGAGACACGGCCCAGACUCCUACGGGAGGCAGCAGUGGGGAAUAUUGGACAAUGGGCGCAAGCCUGAUCCAGCCAUACCGCGUGUGUGAAGAAGGCCUUCGGGUUGUAAAGCACUUUAAGCAGGGAGAAAAAGUUAUAAGUUAAUACCUUAUAACCGUGAUGUUACCUGCAGAAUAAGCACCGGCUAAUUCCGUGCCAGCCGCCGCGGUAAUAC
rnacentral:rRNA from 1 species